UACGAAGGGGGCUAGCGUUGCUCGGAAUCACUGGGCGUAAAGGGUGCGUAGGCGGGUCUUUAAGUCAGGGGUGAAAUCCUGGAGCUCAACUCCAGAACUGCCUUUGAUACUGAGGAUCUUGAGUCCGGGAGAGGUGAGUGGAACUGCGAGUGUAGAGGUGAAAUUCGUAGAUAUUCGCAAGAACACCAGUGGCGAAGGCGGCUCACUGGCCCGGUACUGACGCUGAGGCACGAAAGCGUGGAGGAGCAAACAGG
rnacentral:rRNA from 1 species